GAGGCUGGGAAGGCCAAGAUCAAGGAGCCAGCAGAUUCAGUGUCUGGUGAGAGCUUGCUUCCUGGUUCUUAGACUGCCGUCUUCUCCCUGUGUCCUCACCCAGCAGAAGUGGCAAGGACUGGACUUCUACUACCAUCCCAUGGCAGGCAAAGGAGUACAUUCAGUUCUGUUUGAAUGAAUGAAUACUGAAUGAAUACAUUCAGUAUUGUUUUUUGGCCAACUCUCCUGGUCUUUGUAUUUUGAUUGGACACUGGAAACAUGCCAAUAAAAUGGAUGCUGUAAAGAAGUGCCAGCUGAUCUGGACUGUGAAGGACAAGAAGAGCUCUGACGGGUGAAGAAGAAAAGUUAGCGUCUUCUAGGUGUAAGAGAGUCAAUACUUCAUAGCAUGACCUCUAGUGUGAAGGAAUGUAACAUUUUAAAUUUUUUUAUAACUAAACUUAGUCUUUACCUUUUGACAUAAGAAUUACUUUGAGCUCGGGUGCCUGGGUGGCUCAGUCAGUUAAG